GGAUGUGAGGGCGAUCUGGCUGCGACAUCUGUCACCCCAUUGAUCGCCAGGGUUGAUUCGGCUGAUCUGGUUGGCUAGGCGGGUGUCCCCUUCCUCCCUCAACGAUCCAUGUGCGUCCCUCCCGAAGCUGCGCGCUCAGUCAAAGAGGACGACCACCCCCGAUAGAGGAGGACCAUUCCUCGGUCAAGGGUAUACGAGUAGCUGCGCUCCCCUGCUAGAACCUCCAAACAAGCUCUCAAAAUAAAAGAAGGUGUGGUACAGAUGGACCAAAAAAAUCUUUUCUACUUCAGUAACCUAACUUCAACAGACUUAC
rnacentral:snRNA from 1 species